UACAGAGGGUGCGAGCGUUAAUCGGAUUUACUGGGCGUAAAGCGUGUGUAGGUGGCUACCUAAGUCGAUUGUGAAAUCCCCGGGCUCAACCUGGGAAUUGCAUUUGUGACUGCACGGCUAGAGUGUGUCAGAGGGGGUAGAAUUCCACGUGUAGCAGUGAAAUGCGUAGAGAUGUGGAGGAAUACCGAUGGCGAAGGCAGCCCCCUGGGAUAACACUGACGCUCAUGCACGAAAGCGUGGGGAGCAAACAGG
rnacentral:rRNA from 1 species